UUUGCCUACGGGGGGCAGCAGUGGGGAAUAUUGCACAAUGGGGGAAACCCUGAUGCAGCAACGCCGCGUGAGUGAAGAAGUAUUUCGGUAUGUAAAGCUCUAUCAGCAGGGAAGAGAAUGACGGUACCUGACUAAGAAGCCCCGGCUAACUACGUGCCAGCAGCCGCGGUAAUACGUAGGGGGCGAGCGUUAUCCGGAUUUACUGGGUGUAAAGGGAGCGUAGACGGUUCUGCAAGUAUGAAGUGAAAGCCCG
rnacentral:rRNA from 1 species